CAAAAUAAUGCAGGAGAUAAUGCCGACCGUUAAAAUAGCCGACUGCACAUAAUCCCAAAUAUCGGCUUUCGAAUACACUUACAGAUAAAAAUGCCUUUUUGACCGAGGAAAGCCAUUUCGCAGAAGAAAAAACAGAUGAAGAAUAUUCCGAUACCCAAGCUACAAGUGGGCAAGGGCACGCAGAAGCAACAGGUCUUAGUGGUCAUUUUCCGAUUUGGAUGAACAUAUGAAAAUUUUAAGAUUACUGAUUUUGAAAGUGCCUAAAGUUUUCUGACUCUGAAUGCUGAGCAAAGUUGAGUAAAAUAUGAUAACGGA